ensembl:snoRNA
UCCUCCCACAAAAAGUUAUGUCUUUUGUUCCCUGUUAUUGGACAUGUAAGAAUUGGAGGCAAAGACAUGUGAAUUUGGAGAAAUCUAAGGCCAGCUUGCUUUCCAAGCUCAAGAUCAACCAUACUACAUAG